CUUUAGUGCAGUCUCAGGUCGGCAUAAGCACCAUCAGCAGCAGUCAUUAGGUAGUGUAGGAUCUGUUGUUAGUACUAGUGGUAUAAUACCAGUGUCAAUAACUCGUGGACUCACUGAUAGACUAGUGGAGAAGAGAAAAGGAGCUGCUCUUGAAUUAGAAAGGUUACUAAAAGAUCAUGUCACUAAAUAUAAAGAGUUCAGCCACAUAAAGGACAUCAUAUCAUAUCUUAAAGAUGACUACACUUUAUCCUCCAACCCAAACUCAAGGAAAGAAGGUUUAGUGGGACUGGCCGCCACAGCAAUAGCACUUGGGAUGUCUUGUAUUGUUACAAAUCUACCAGUACUAGUUUAGCCAGUGUUGGUCUGGUUUGAUGAUCAGGAUGCUCGUGUUCAUUAUUAUGCUUGUGAGUCUCUCUACAAUAUUUCUAAAGUCACCACUGAGAGGAGCUGUUCUUGUGCUCUUUAAUGCAAUGUUUAAUGGACUUUGUAAGGUCUUGUCCUUGUACUUCUAGUCAGUUGUUUCAUUUUGGUUGGAUACUCUAUGUUCACAUUAAAAAUCAGUUCUCAUUAUUUAUUAUUAUGUUGUAUUGACAUGUUAUGUGCAGCUGCUGUGAUCGGUAAAAGACACGAUCUAUUGCGCAAUGACUUCACACCUCCCUCUCUCUCCCGGCAGUAACACCUGAUUGUGACUCCACCCCCUCGCUAAUAAUUCAUGACUAUCUUGCUAUAUUACUGGAACUAUUCAGGCAAUA